rnacentral:rRNA from 1 species
UACGUAGGUGGCAAGCGUUGUCCGGAUUUACUGGGCGUAAAGAGCGCGCAGGCGGUCGUGCAAGUCGCGUGUGAAAGCCCCCGGCUCAACUGGGGAGGGUCACGCGAUACUGCUCGACUUGAAGGCAGGAGAGGGAAGUGGAAUUCCCGGUGUAGUGGUGAAAUGCGUAGAUAUCUGCAGGAACACCCGUGGCGAAAGCGGCGCGCUGGACCACUACUGACGCUGAGGAACGAAAGCUAGGGGAGCAAACAGG